AAAUUGAAGAGUUUGAUCAUGGCUCAGAUUGAACGCUGGCGGCAGGCCUAACACAUGCAAGUCGAACGGUAGCACAAAGGAGCUUGCUCCUUGGGUGACGAGUGGCGGACGGGUGAGUAAUGUCUGGGAAACUGCCCGAUGGAGGGGGAUAACUACUGGAAACGGUAGCUAAUACCGCAUAA
rnacentral:rRNA from 1 species